rnacentral:tRNA from 3 species
AUCUUAAUAGCUUAAGUUACAAAGCAAAGCAUUGAAGCUGCUAGAAUGGCAAUAAUGUCUUAAGAUA